CUUCUGUCCCACAGGGAGUUGCCCUGUUUGGUUGCAUCUGGUGAAAUUCACCCUGAGACCUUACAGAAGUAGCUCAAACUACGUGAGAGCCAUUUGCAGUUCCCUCCACACACCUGGAGAAUGGGUGACGUUUCUGAGGAUGUGGCAACUGUACUUCUAUCAAAACUCAGUCUGUGAAAUUUCUGGGGAAAACUCUUCGGUGACCUGAAGGGUUCAAACUCUGGGAAAGACUCUCGUAUCCUUGUCUUCAGGCUCGGUGCUGUCCACGAAGAUACGGAGACUAAAAAAAUCAUAAGAAGCAAAAUAUGACUGCAGGGAAAACAAGCUGGAGAGAACAAAAGACUCAUCACGGCGGGACAGCGUGAAGACUGAAAGUGUGAGAAGAUGUGGAGGGGAAGAGAGAAUCUGACGGGAGCAGCGAACGCACGAGUGCACGAAUUUUGCU